rnacentral:misc_RNA from 1 species
GAUGAAGAACGCAGCGAAAUGCGAUAAGUAAUGUGAAUUGCAGAAUUCAGUGAAUCAUCGAAUCUUUGAACGCACAUUGCGCCCGUCAGUAUUCUGGCGGGCAUGCCUGUUCGAGCGUCAUUACGCCCCUCAAGUCCCCUGUGGACUUGGUGUUGGGGAUCGGCGAGGCUGGUUUUCCAGCACAGCCGUCCCUUAAAUUAAUUGGCGGUCUCGCCGUGGCCCUCCUCUGCGCAGUAGUAAAACACUCGCAACAGGAGCCCGGCGCGGUCCACUGCCGUAAAACCCCCCGACUUUUUAUAGUUGACCUCGAAUCAGGUAGGACUACCCGCUGAACUUAAGCAUAUCAAUAAGCGGAGGA